GUGAACCGUUCAGGGGUAAACCUGAGAAACCCAAAAGAUCGAAUGGGGAGAUUCAUCGUCAACGAGGCUGGCUCCCGUUGGUGCGCGAUGCUCCGAAUGGGCGCAUUAGUGUGUCCCAUCGCGGGGGCACGACACCUUCGGCUUGAACGUUCCGGCUUCGUAGUCGUGCACUUCUCCUCUAGUAGAACGUCGCGACCCGUUGUGUGUCGGUCUACGGCCCGAGCGGGCGCCUGUCGCGUCGCGUUUUCGCGUACGCGGCAGACCCUCGGACGCCUGGCCGGCUGCACGACGGUACUCCCACGGUAUCGGGCCGCAACCAAUCCGAUUCUCGAAUCGUGUGUGCGUCUAGCCCGUCGCAAGCUCGAUCAGUUCUUACCCGGUGGUCGGACCUAGUGCCGUCCCCGGGCCUGAUCAGCUGUUAGCAGACGGUGUCCUCGGACUGGCCAAGCUUCGAAUUACCGGUCGGCGACGCUACUGCUUUGGGUACUCUCAGGACCCGUCUUGAAACACGGACCAAGGAGUCUAACAUGUGCGCGAGUCAUUGGGAUGCACAAACCUAAAGGCGAAAUGAAAGUGAAGGUCGUUCCUUUUGCGUCGACCGAGGGAGGAUGGGCCGCGUUACUAGGCGGCCCCGCACUCCCGGGGCGUCUCGUUCUCAUUGCGAGAAGAGGCGCACCCAGAGCGUACACGUUGGG
rnacentral:rRNA from 1 species